rnacentral:lncRNA from 1 species
AUUAAUAAGUUGUUCUGUUAUUUUUGUAAUUAUUGUUUUGCAAAACAGCAAAAAGAAAGAAAUAGAAUACGCGUUAGCAUCGUACCAUAGUGGAAAGAAAACAGCGGGAAGCAACUAACAAGCUUAAGAAACCAAGAAAGAAGAAGAAGAAGAGGGUUUGAUUAUUAAACGCUUGAAGAUUCAAUAACAAGCAAGAACGAGAACAA